rnacentral:rRNA from 1 species
GGCCAGACUCCUACGGGAGGCAGCAGUGGGGAAUAUUGCACAAUGGGGGGAAACCCUGAUGCAGCGACGCCGCGUGAGCGAUGAAGUAUUUCGGUAUGUAAAUCUCUAUCAGCAGGGAAGAAAAUGACGGUACCUGACUAAGAAGCCCCGGCUAACUACGUGCCAGCAGCCGCGGUAAUACGUAGGGGGCAAGCGUUAUCCGGAUUUACUGGGUGUAAAGGGAGCGUAGACGGUCCUGCAAGCCAGAUGUGAAAGCCCGGGGCUCAACCCCGGGACUGCAUUUGGAACUGUAAGGCUAGAGUGUCGGAGAGGCAGGCGGAAUUCCUAGUGUAGCGGUGAAAUGCGUAGAUAUCAGGAGGAACACCGGCGGCGAAGGCGGCCUGCUGGACCGCGACUGACGUUGAGGCUCGAAAGCGUGGGGAGCGAACAGGAUUAGAUACCCCUGUAG